rnacentral:rRNA from 1 species
AUUGAACGCUGGCGGCAGGCCUAACACAUGCAAGUCGAGCGGAUGAAGGGAGCUUGCUCCUGGAUUCAGCGGCGGACGGGUGAGUAAUGCCUAGGAAUCUGCCUGGUAGUGGGGGAUAACGUCCGGAAACGGGCGCUAAUACCGCAUACGUCCUGAGGGAGAAAGUGGGGGAUCUUCGGACCUCACGCUAUCAGAUGAGCCUAGGUCGGAUUAGCUAGUUGGUGGGGUAAAGGCCUACCAAGGCGACGAUCCGUAACUGGUCUGAGAGGAUGAUCAGUCAACCGGAAAAUGAAAACGGGUCCCACACCCUAAGGGGGGGAGCGGGGGGGAAUUUUGGAAAGUGGGGGAAAGCCUGAUCCAGCCAGGCGGGGGGGGUGAAGAAGGCUUUCGGUUUGUAAAGACUUUUAAGUUGGGAGGAAGGGAAGUAAGUUAAAACCUGGCUGUUUUGACGUUACCAACAAAAUAAGCACCGGCCAACUUCGU